rnacentral:rRNA from 1 species
ACAGUGGACGCGAGCAUCUUUGUUGUAAGUAAUGAAGAGCGUACGGUGGAUGCCUUGGCACCAGGAGCCGAUGAAGGACGUAGGAGGCUGCGAUAAGCCUCGGGGAGCUGUCAACCGAGCUGUGAUCCGAGGGUGUCCGAAUGGGGAAACCCAGCACGAGUGAUGUCGUGUUACCCGCAUCUGAAUAUAUAGGGUGUGUGGAGGGAACGUGGGGAAGUGAAACAUCUCAGUACCCACAGGAAGAGAAAACAAUAGUGAUUCCGUGAGUAGUGGCGAGCGAAAGCGGAUGAGGCCAAACUUUGUGCGUGUGAUACCCGGCAGGGGUUGCGUAUGGAGGGUUGUGGGGUUUGCAUUGUCGAUUCUGCCGGAUCGGCCGACAGUGAGAAAUUGUGGUGUUAGUCGAAGUGGUCUGGAACGGCCUGUCGUAGAGGGUGAGAGUCCCGUAGACGAAAACAUUGCAACUGUCGUUGUGGAUACCCAAGUAGCAGCGGGCCCGUGAAAUCUGCUGUGAAUCUGUCGGGACCACCCGAUAAGCCUGAAUACUCCCUGGUGACCGAUAGCGGACUAGUACCGUGAGGGAAAGGUGAAAAGUACCCCGGGAGGGGAGUGAAAUAGUACCUGAAACCGUGCGCUUACAAUCCGUCAAAGCCGGUGCAUGACUUGUCAUGGCUGGUGAUGGCGUGCCUUUUGAAGAAUGAGCCUGCGAGUUAGUGGCAUGUCGCGAGGUUAACCCGUGUGGGGUAGCCGUAGCGAAAGCGAGUCCGAAUAGGGCGUAUCCACCUUGUGUGGUGUAGUGGCGUGUUCUAGACCCGAAGCGGAGUGAUCUACCCAUGGCCAGGUUGAAGCGACGGUAAGACGUCGUGGAGGACCGAACCCACUUAGGUUGAAAACUGAGGGGAUGAGUUGUGGGUAGGGGUGAAAGGCCAAUCAAACUCCGUGAUAGCUGGUUCUCCCCGAAAUGCAUUUAGGUGCAGCGUCACGUGUUUCUCACCGGAGGUAGAGCUACUGGAUGGUCUAGGGGGCCUACAAGCUUACCGAAAUCAGCCAAACUCCGAAUGCCGGUGAGUGAGAGCGUGGCAGUGAGACUGCGGGCGAUAAGGUUCGUAGUCGAGAGGGAAACAGCCCAGAUCGCCAGCUAAGGUCCCUAAGCGUGUACUAAGUGGAAAAGGAUGUGGGGUCGCGAAGACAACCAGGAGGUUGGCUUAGAAGCAGCCACCCUUGAAAGAGUGCGUAAUAGCUCACUGGUCAAGUGAUCCUGCGCCGACAAUGUAGCGGGGCUCAAGUACACCACCGAAGCUGCGGCACUCACACAAUAGCCCCAUUCAGGUCUGCGGAUCUGUGUGCAGGUGUGUGGGUGGGUAGGGGAGCGUCGUGCAGCCAUGGAAGCAUCGGAGUGAUCCAGGUGUGGAGGCUGCGCGAGUGAGAAUGCAGGCAUGAGUAGCGAAAGACGAGUGAGAAACUCGUCCGCCGAAUGACCAAGGGUUCCUGGGCCAGGUUAAUCCGCCCAGGGUGAGUCGGGACCUAAGACGAGGCCGACAGGCGUAGCCGAUGGACAACGGGUUGAUAUUCCCGUACCCGUGUAACCGCGCCCAUGGUGAAUCAGUGACACUAACCACCCUGAAUCCAUAUGACCGAUCUCUUUCGAGAGUGAGGCGUGUGGUGGAUGCGUGGGACCUGAUCUGGUAGUAGCCAAGCGAUGGGGUGACGCAGGAAGGUAGCUGGGCCAGUCAGUGGUUGUACUGGUGUAAGCCUGUAGGGCGAACGGUAGGCAAAUCCGCCGUUCACAUAGCCUGAGAGGUGAUGCGUAGCCGAUUGAGGCGAAUUCAGUGAUCCUAUGCUGCCGAGAAAAGCCUCUAGUGAGUUGUUACACGGCCCGUACCCCANAAGCCUGAGAGGUGAUGCGUAGCCGAUUGAGGCGAAUUCAGUGAUCCUAUGCUGCCGAGAAAAGCCUCUAGUGAGUUGUUACACGGCCCGUACCCCAAACCGACACAGGUGGUCAGGUAGAGAAUACUAAGGCGAUCGAGAUAACUAUGGUUAAGGAACUCGGCAAAAUGCCCCCGUAACUUCGGGAGAAGGGGGGCCCCUGCCGGUGAUCACUCUUGCAGUGUGAGCUGGUGUGGGCCGCAGAGACCAGUGAGAAGCGACUGUUUACUAAAAACACAGGUCCGUGCGAAGUCGUAAGACGAUGUAUACGGACUGACGCCUGCCCGGUGCUGGAAGGUUAAGAGGACCGGUUAGCCAGUAAUGGCGAAGCUGAGAAUUUAAGCCCCAGUAAACGGCGGUGGUAACUAUAACCAUCCUAAGGUAGCGAAAUUCCUUGUCGGGUAAGUUCCGACCUGCACGAAUGGCGUAACGACUUCUCAGCUGUCUCAACCAUAGACUCGGCGAAAUUGCAUUACGAGUAAAGAUGCUCGUUACGCGCGGCAGGACGAAAAGACCCCGGGACCUUCACUACAGCUUGGUAUUGGUGUUCGGUUCGGUUUGUGUAGGAUAGGUGGGAGACUGUGAAGCGGUGACGCCAGUUACUGUGGAGUCGUUGUUGAAAUACCACUCUGAUCGUAUUGGAUACCUCAACCUCGGACCAUGAUCUGGUUCAGGGACAGUGCCUGGUGGGUAGUUUAACUGGGGCGGUUGCCUCCUAAAAUGUAACGGAGGCGCCCAAAGGUUCCCUCAGCCUGGUUGGCAAUCAGGUGUCGAGUGCAAGUGCACAAGGGAGCUUGACUGUGAGACUGACAAGUCGAGCAGGGACGAAAGUCGGGACUAGUGAUCCGGCACCGGCAAGUGGAAGCGGUGUCGCUCAACGGAUAAAAGGUACCCCGGGGAUAACAGGCUGAUCUUCCCCAAGAGUCCAUAUCGACGGGAUGGUUUGGCACCUCGAUGUCGGCUCGUCGCAUCCUGGGGCUGGAGUAGGUCCCAAGGGUUGGGCUGUUCGCCCAUUAAAGCGGCACGCGAGCUGGGUUUAGAACGUCGUGAGACAGUUCGGUCUCUAUCCGCCGCGCGCGUAAGAAACUUGAGGAAGGCUGUCCCUAGUACGAGAGGACCGGGACGGACGAACCUCUGGUGUGCCAGUUGUUCCACCAGGAGCACCGCUGGUUGGCUACGUUCGGAAGGGAUAACCGCUGAAAGCAUCUAAGCGGGAAGCCUGUUCCAAGAUGAGGUUUCUCACCCCCUCGAGGGGGUAAGGCCCCCGGCAGACCACCGGGUUGAUAGGCCAGAACUGGAAGUACAGCAAUGUAUGCAGGUGACUGGUACUAAUAGGCCGAGGACUUACCACAA